rnacentral:rRNA from 1 species
GACGGAGGGUGCUAGCGUUGUUCGGAAUCACUGGGCGUAAAGGGCUCGUAGGCGGCCAACUAAGUCAGACGUGAAAUCCCUCGGCUUAACCGGGGAACUGCGUCUGAUACUGGAUGGCUUGAGAUUGGGAGAGGGAUGCGGAAUUCCAGGUGUAGCGGUGAAAUGCGUAGAUAUCUGGAGGAACACCGGUGGCGAAGGCGGCAUCCUGGACCAACACUGACACUGAGGAGCGAAAGCCAGGGGAGCAAACGGG